AGUGAACGCUGGCGGUAGGCCUAACACAUGCAAGUCGAACGGCAGCACAGUAAGAGCUUGCUCUUACCGGUGGCGAGUGGCGGACGGGUGAGGAAUACAUCGGAAUCUACUUUUUCGUGGGGGAUAACGUAGGAAAACUUACGCUAAUACCGCAUACGACCUACGGGUGAAAGCAUGGGAUCUUCUGACCUUGCGCGAUUGAAUGAGCCGAUGUCGUAUUAGCUAGUUGGCUGGUUAAAGGCCCACCAGGGCGACGAUCCGUAGCUGGUCGGAGAGAAUGAUCGGCCACCCUGGAACUGGGCCACGGUCCAGACUCCUGAGGGAGGGAGCAGUGGCGAAUGUGGGACAAUGGGGGGAAGUAUGAUACAGCGAUACCGCGUGGGUGACGGCGGCCUUCCGGUUGUAAAGCCCUUUUGUUGGUAAAGAAACGCAGUAGCUUGAUACCCCGCUGUUCUGACGGUACUGAAAGAAUAAGCACCGGCUAACUUCGUG
rnacentral:rRNA from 1 species